AGAGUUUGAUCAUGGCUCAGAGCGAACGUUAGCGGCGCGCCUAACACAUGCAAGUCGCACGAGAGGGAGCAAUCCUGAAAGUGGCGCACGGGUGCGUAACACGUAGAUAAUCUGCCCUUCAGCGGGGGAUAACGUUCCGAAAGGAGCGCUAAUACCGCAUACAGCAGUUGGUGGUUCGCCAUCGAUUGGCAAAGGCUGGGACCUUCGGGCCAGCCACUGAGGGAGGAGUCUGCGGCCCAUCAGCUAGUUGGUAAGGUAAUGGCUUACCAAGGCAAAGACGGGUAGCUGGUCUGAGAGGAUGAUCAGCCACACUGGUACUGGAACACGGACCAGACUCCUACGGGAGGCAGCAGUGGGGAAUCUUGGUCAAUGGGCGCAAGCCUGAACCAGCGACGCCGCGUGAGUGAUGAAGGCCUUCGGGUUGUAAAGCUCUGUGGGGAGAGACGAAAGAAUCGGUUCUAACAGGACCGAAGUUGACGGUAUCUCCUUAGCAAGCACCGGCUAACUCUGUGCCAGCAGCCGCGGUAAGACAGAGGGUGCAAACGUUGCUCGGAAUCACUGGGCGUAAAGGGCGUGUAGGCGGGUAGAUAAGUCGGGCGUGAAAUCCCUAGGCUCAACCUAGGAACUGCACUCGAAACUGUUUAUCUUGAGUGCCGGAGAGGAAAGCGGAAUUCCUGGUGUAGAGGCGAAAUUCGUAGAUAUCAGGAGGAACACCAGUGGCGAAGGCGGCUUUCUGGACGGUAACUGACGCUGAGACGCGAAAGCGUGGGGAGCAAACAGGAUUAGAUACCCUAGUAGUCC
rnacentral:rRNA from 1 species